GCAGCCGCGGUAAUACGGAGGAUGCGAGCGUUAUCCGGAUUUAUUGGGUUUAAAGGGUGCGUAGGCGGUCUGGUAAGUCAGCGGUUAAAUGUCGGGGCUCAACCCCGGCCUGCCGUUGAAACUGUCGGACUAGAGUUGGAGAGAAGUAUGCGGAAUGCGUAGUGUAGCGGUGAAAUGCAUAGAUAUUACGCAGAACUCCGAUUGCGAAGGCAGCAUACCGGCUCCAUACUGACGCUGAUGCACGAAAGCGUGGGUAUCGAACAGGAUUAGAUACCCC
rnacentral:rRNA from 1 species